GCCGCAGCUCAGUGACAGAGCACUUGUCUUUGAUACAGGAAGUCUCAGGUUCGAUACCUGGUGUCUCCA